UUAAUUUUCAGAUGUUACAUGUGAUGUAUUAAAUCUGAAAGUAUGUUAAUUAGAUCAAUUUUUGAUACAUGAGAUGUAUGCAAAGCAUGUAUUAGUUAGAUUUUAAAUUAUAUAUAUAAUAUGUAAAUUUAGAUCUAACUAAUUUUGUAGUUAAAUUUAUAUUUUUGAUUAAGGUAUUCCUCAUGGCCGUCCGAUCAUAAGAAUAAAGUAGG
rnacentral:lncRNA from 1 species